rnacentral:rRNA from 1 species
CAAUGCCCGAAAGGGUGACGAAGCGACGCCGCGUGGGUGAGGAAGGCCUUCGGGUUGUAAAGCCCUGUCAGGAGUUAAGAAAUGUAGACUCGCUAAUAUCGGGUCUAUUUGACAAAGGCUCCAGAGGAAGCCACGGCUAACUCCGUGCCAGCAGCCGCGGUAAUACAGAGGUGGCAAGCGUUGUUCGGAAUUAUUGGGCGUAAAGAGCACGUAGGUGGAUUUGUAAGUCAGACGUGAAAGCCUUCUGUUCAACGGAAGAAUUGUAUCUGAAACUACAAACCUUGGGUGUAGGAGGGGAGAAUGGAACUUCUGGUGGAGCGGUGAAAUGCGUAGAUAUCAGAAGGAACGCCGGCGGCGAAAGCGAUUCUCUGGCCUAUUACUGACACUCAGUGUGUGAAAGCUAGGGGAGCAAACGGGAUUAGAUACCCCGGUAGUCCUAACCGUAAACGAUGGGCACUAAGUAGAGGGG